rnacentral:lncRNA from 1 species
GAAAUGGGGAAAAAGGGAGCCAAGGGUUUGGGUAUCCUGGAGAACAAGGUCCUCCUGGUCCCCCAGGUCCAGAGGGCCCUCCUGGAAUAAGCAAAGAAGGUCCUCCAGGAGACCCAGGUCUCCCUGGCAAAGAUGGAGACCAUGGAAAACCUGGAAUCCAAGGGCAACCAGGCCCCCCAGGCAUCUGCGACCCAUCACUAUGUUUUAGUGUAAUUGCCAGAAGAGAUCCGUUCAGAAAAGGACCAAACUAUUAGUGUCUGAUGCCUCAUUCAGCAGCCUAGGCAUGGUGCUUUUUCUGUGGUCUUUUGCAUCUCAGGAAGAUAACCAACAGUAAUCCCUUGAAAAGAAACUUAAGUACCUCGGUGUUUUUAUUUUUUUUUUCUUAUGGAAAAAAAUAUAAAAGAUCACAUAUACUGAUUUUAAAGGCUCCUCAGUCAUUUGGAGCCCUUGGAUUAGCAGCAUUAAUUAAAUCUCAAGGGUUUCUUGUAAAGUCCAUUUAUGUUAAUCAAAGUUGAAUAUAAAAAUCCACCAUUGCCUGUUAGCCAGUCAGUUUUAGUCACUGUGAAAUAUUUCACAUUCAGCCUCCAUGCAGUAGAGAUUUGAGUUUAAUUUCAUGUCCAUGUGACUUUCAUGUUUCCUAUCUCAUAGCUCAUGCUACUACAUAAGCCAAAACAUGUAUCUCAUCAUUGGAAGUAAGAUCAGGGCUGAUAUUCACCUGGGAUAGACAGUAUUGGUGAACUACUCAUUUACUACAGUGUCUCAGCCUUGAUAAGGGGCAGUGGAUUGCCUGUUGUUCGGUGUUGUGAAUAGCACCUCUGAAUAAGAUUAGAGUGUUUCUUAAUUCAUUUCAAACUCUAAAAUUAGAUUAAUGGUGGUGCUAAGAAAGAGUAUUAAUUACUUUGGGAAUGGUCAAAAUUAACAUUAAAAACAUUUUAGACAAAAAGUUUCAUUGUACAUUCAAAGAAAAUGUAAGUUUGGAAGUACUAAAAGACUAUUUUAUACUUGUUGAUUAAUCGGAAUGUUUGUUGUAUGCCUUCAUUUUCCAUUUCACUUAUAUGUGUAUGUCCAUAUAUGUUAAUUUUCAUUGUAGCAAAGCUAAUGGAAAUAAAGCUAAUGCUCUAGUUGAAAGAAAAGGAAAACUCCUGAAAUCCUAGAAUGUCUUGUUAUUUUUAGCUGACUGUAAAAUAUUAUGAACAGUCUUUGUGUAUUGUGCUUAAUGCUUUUGUAAGAAACAGAAUUUGAAAUAUUUCAUCCUUGUCAUGCUCAAAAUUUUGUUACAUGCUUGUUAUUCAGAGUAUAAUAAAGUUUUGUACAGGCC